CCGGGACACUUUACAAUGAAAAAAACAGGAUAUAGAUAAACAAUGGUCUAAUUUCCGCCCACUGGAGUAAUUCUCCCAGAUGGAAUCGACGUAUUCAGUGGAGAACACUAGAAAAGACAACCACGGAAAUUUGCAUCACUCAGAAAGUUAGAGAAGGCGCCGAGCAACACAGAUUACCAAUGAAUCAAUCGACGGUUCUAGUUGGCCUGCUUGUGCUAUUUGCCGCGAUUUGUGGAUCAAAAGCUUUUACGGCAGGCAUCGGAAAUAUGGGAAUGAAAGGAAAGCGAGAUCUUGCUGUGAAGACUCGAAGAGAACUUCAACUGUUGUGCCAUUACGUACGAGGUACUUUGACUUCUAAAAGGUCUGGAGAGAGAACACAUCAGACGCCAUUUUACGUGCGGGAGAUUUGUGGGCUAUGACGUGAAAAGCAAUUGUUACGGCAGUGGGAGACCGGACAAUUUGGGCCAAUAUGAAUCGAAAUGUUUUGUCAGCUACCUUGUGUAAAAUAAUUACAAUAAAAAUCCGCUAACUUA